GCCUUCGUGGUGUAAUGGUCAGCGUACUGAGCCGGUAUUUCAGAGGUCCGUGGUUCGAUCCCCGGCGAAGGCA
rnacentral:tRNA from 1 species